UGCAAGUCGAGGGGCAGCAGGAUCUGUGCUGCACAGGUGCUGGCGACCGGCGCACGGGUGAGUAACGCGUAUCCCAACCUCCCCCCACAGUAGAGGAUAGCCCGGCGAAAGUCGGAUUAAUACUCUAUGUUGUAUUUCGAGGACAUCUGACGAAUACCAAAGAUUUAUCGCUAUGGGAUGGGGGAUGCGUCUGAUUAGGUAGUCGGCGGGGUAACGGCCCACCGAGCCAUCGAUCAGUAGGGGUUCUGAGAGGAAGGUCCCCCCACAUUGGUACUGAGACACGGACCAAACUUCUACGGGAGGCAGCAGUGGGGAAUAUUGGUCAAUGGGCGCGAGCCUGAACCAGCCAAGUAGCGUGCAGGAGGACUGCCCUAUGGGUUGUAAACUGCUUUUAUGCGGGAAUAAAGUGGCGUACGUGUACGCUUUUGUAUGUACCGCAUGAAUAAGGACCGGCUAAUUCCGUGCCAGCAGCCGC
rnacentral:rRNA from 1 species